AUCUCUUCUUGGCCUUUUGGCUGAGAUCAAGUGUAGAAU
rnacentral:snRNA from 1 species